AACGUAGGAGACGAGCGUUAUUCGGAUUUACUGGGCGUAAAGCGCAUGCAGGUGGUUUGGUAAGUUGGAUGUGAAAGCUCCUGGCUUAACUGGGAGAGGUCGUUCAAAACUGCCAGACUUGAGAAUGGGAGAGGGAGGUGGAAUUCCGGGUGUAGUGGUGAAAUGCGUAGAUAUCCGGAGGAACACCAGUGGCGAAAGCGACCUCCUGGCCUGUUUCUGACACUCAGAUGCGAAAGCUAGGGUAGCAAACGGG
rnacentral:rRNA from 1 species